rnacentral:lncRNA from 10 species
GGCUGGUCUUGAACUCCUUACCUCAAGUGAUCCGCCCACCUCGGCCUCCCAAGGUUCUGGGAUUACAGGUGUGAGCCACAGCGGUUGGCCUAGCCUGCACUGUCUUAAGGGCCUGUUGGGCAGGGGAGUUCAGGUUCUCUCGUCUCUCCAGAUUGAUCUUCACACAUUUGCUAAGUCUCGUAUCGUCCCUGAGCUUGGGAGUCAGGGAGCGCUCUGACCUAAGCCCUCCUGACUUUGGGGUCACCAUCUUUCCCCAG